rnacentral:rRNA from 1 species
UACGAGGGGGCUAGCGUUGCUCGGAAUCACUGGGCGUAAAGCGCACGUAGGCGGCUUUCUAAGUCAGGGGUGAAAUCCUGGAGCUCAACUCCAGAACUGCCUUUGAUACUGGAGAGCUUGAGUCCGGAAGAGGUGAGUGGAACUCCGAGUGUAGAGGUGAAAUUCGUAGAUAUUCGGAAGAACACCAGUGGCGAAGGCGGCUCACUGGUCCGGUACUGACGCUGAGGUGCGAAAGCGUGGGGAGCAAACAGG